rnacentral:rRNA from 1 species
UGCGCAGGCGGGAAAUUAAGUCAGUGGUGAAAUCCUGCAGCUCAACUGUAGAAUUGCCAUUGAUACUGAUUUUCUUGAGUGCAGUUGAGGUGGGCGGAAUGUGUAAUGUAGCGGUGAAAUGCUUAGAUAUUACACAGAACACCGAUUGCGUAGGCAGCUCACUAAACUGUUACUGACGCUCAGGCACGAAAGCAUGGGGAGCGAACAGGAUUAGAUACCCUGGUAGUCC